GCCAGGCAUGGUGGCGCAUGCCUGCAAUCCCUGCAACUCAGGAGGCUGAGAAAGGAGGAUCACAAAUUUGAAGCCAGCCUCAGUAACUUAGCGAGGUCCUGAGUAAUUUAACGAGACCCUGUCUCAA
rnacentral:sRNA from 1 species